rnacentral:rRNA from 1 species
UACGAAGGGGGCUAGCGUUGCUCGGAAUCACUGGGCGUAAAGCGCACGUAGGCGGCUUUUUAAGUCAGGGGUGAAAUCCUGGAGCUCAACUCCAGAACUGCCUUUGAUACUGGGAAGCUUGAGUCCGGGAGAGGUGAGUGGAACUCCGAGUGUAGAGGUGAAAUUCGUAGAUAUUCGGAAGGACACCAGUGGCGAAGGCGGCUCACUGGUCCGGUACUGACGCUGAGGUGCGAAAGCGUGGGGAGCAAACAGG